rnacentral:rRNA from 1 species
GCCAUAUCAAUAAGCGGAGGAAAAGAAACCAACAGGGAUUGCCUCAGUAGCGGCGAGUGAAGCGGCAAAAGCUCAAAUUUGAAAUCUGGUAGUUCUGCUACCCGAGUUGUAAUUUGUAGAAAACUGUCUUUGUUAGGGUGCCUGUCUAAGUUCCUUGGAACAGGACGUCGCAGAGGGUGAGAAUCCCGUGUGAUGGGUGGCCCGAGCUUUUAAGGCGUUUUCGAAGAGUCGAGUUGUUUGGGAAU